rnacentral:rRNA from 1 species
UUGACCUCGGAUCAGGUAGGGAUACCCGCUGAACUUAAGCAUAUCAAUAAGCGGAGGAAAAGAAACCAACAGGGAUUACCUCAGUAACGGCGAGUGAAGCGGUAACAGCUCAAAUUUGAAAGCUGCCAACAGGCCGCGUUGUAAUUUGUAGAAGCUGCUUUGGGUGUCGGCCCGGUCUAAGUUCCUUGGAACAGGACGUCAUAGAGGGUGAGAAUCCCGUAUGUGAUCGGUGCCGUUGCCCGUGUAAAGCGCUUUCGACGAGUCGAGUUGUUUGGGAAUGCAGCUCAAAAUGGGUGGUAAAUUUCAUCUAAAGCUAAAUAUUGGCCAGAGACCGAUAGCGCACAAGUAGAGUGAUCGAAAGAUGAAAAGCACUUUGGAAAGAGAGUUAAACAGUACGUGAAAUUGUUGAAAGGGAAGCGCUUGCAACCAGACUUGCGGGCGGUCGAUCAUCCGAGGUUCUCCCCGGUGCACUCGAUCGUUCUCAGGCCAGCAUCGGUUUCCGGGGUGGGAUAAAGGCGGUGGGAAUGUGGCUCUUCGGAGUGUUAUAGCCCACCGUGCAAUGCCGCCACUGGGGACCGAGGACCGCGCUUCGGCUAGGAUGCUGGCGUAAUGGUUGUAAGCGACCCGUCUUGAAAACGGGA